GGAGGGGGAUAACUACUGGAAACGGUAGCUAAUACCGCAUAACGUCGCAAGACCAAAGAGGGGGACCUUCGGGCCUCUUGCCAUCGGAUGUGCCCAGAUGGGAUUAGCUUGUAGGUGAGGUAACGGCUCACCUAGGCGACGAUCCCUAGCUGGUCUGAGAGGAUGACCAGCCACACUGGAACUGAGACACGGUCCAGACUCCUACGGGAGGCAGCAGUGGGGAAUAUUGCACAAUGGGCGCAAGCCUGAUGCAGCCAUGCCGCGUGUAUGAAGAAGGCCUUCGGGUUGUAAAGUACUUUCAGCGGGGAGGAAGGGAGUGAGGUUAAUAACCUCAUUCAUUGACGUUACCCGCAGAAGAAGCACCGGCUAACUCCGUGCCAGCAGCCGCGGUAAUACGGAGGGUGCGAGCGUUAAUCGGAAUUACUGGGCGUAAAGCGCACGCAGGCGGUCUGUCAAGUCGGAUGUGAAAUCCCCGGGCUCAACCUGGGAACUGCAUUCGAAACUGGCAGGCUGGAGUCUUGUAGAGGGGGGUAGAAUUCCAGGUGUAGCGGUGAAAUGCGUAGAGAUCUGGAGGAAUACCGGUGGCGAAGGCGGCCCCCUGGACAAAGACUGACGCUCAGGUGCGAAAGCGUGGGGAGCAAACAGGAUUAGAUACCCUGGUAGUCCACGCUGUAAACGAUGUCGACUUGGAGGUUGUUCCCUUGAGGAGUGGCUUCCGGAGCUA
rnacentral:rRNA from 1 species